GCUGUGUGUCAUACCUUUCAUACCUAUAUUUGCCCUAGAGGGGAAUUUGAUAGGAAGCACUGCCAUCAUGGACCUAUUCCAAGAGAAUUUAGAUUCUAAGUACCAAAAAGCACUCAAGUUUCAUGUCACAAACAUUAAGAAUAGUGACUAAUCAAGAGCAAUAAUGGAGAAGAAAAUAUAUGCUGUCAAAAUAAGUUUCCAUUUUCAGUCCUGAGCUUAACAGACAA